GUAACAAGGUUUCCGUAGGUGAACCUGCGGAACGAUCAUUAACGAAUUGCGUUCGACUGGGUUGUUGCUGGCUCUCCUUUCGGGGGGAGUAUGUGCACGCCCUGCUCAUCCAUUUCUACACCUGUGCACUUACUGUGGGCUUCAGAUCGUACAACGGGUCCCUUUACCGGGCUUGCGGAGCGUGUCUGUGCCUGCGUUUAUCACAAACCUCUGUAUAGUCAUUGUAGAAUGUGUCUUGCUAUGUAAACGCAUCUAUAUACAACUUUCAGCAACGGAUCUCUUGGCUCUCGCAUCGAUGAAGAACGCAGCGAAAUGCGAUAAGUAAUGUGAAUUGCAGAAUUCAGUGAAUCAUCGAAUCUUUGAACGCACCUUGCGCUCCUUGGUAUUCCGAGGAGCAUGCCUGUUUGAGUGUCGUGUAAUUCUUCAAUCCUGCAAGCUUUUGUGGUUUGAAUCGAACGUGGCUUGGACUUGGAGAGCUUGUCUGUGCCUGUUUGUUGGUUCGGCUCCUCCUUGAAUGCAUUAGCUUGGUUCACGUAGUUGCCGGAUCGGCUCUCACGGUGUGAUAGUCAUGUCAUACGCCGUUCUGACCGUUUCGGUGCCUGUGUCUGGCGAGCUUCUAAUCCGUGUGUUGUCCUUUGUUGGAUACAUGCACUCUUAUGACACUCUGACCUCAAAUCAGGUAGGAUUACCCGCUGAACUUAAGCAUAUCAAUAAGCGGAGGAAAAGAAACUAACAAGGAUUCCCCUAGUAACUGC
rnacentral:rRNA from 1 species